GCCCUACCGACGAGUCCAAAACAGGACGAAACAGCUGUCCAGUGC
rnacentral:hammerhead_ribozyme from 1 species